UUGAAAUUUAAAGGAUGACUUAAGUAAACCUGCUUUCAUCACCAAGAUCAAGAGUAGUAUCGGAACAGCUGAUCUAAAUCUAAACAAACACGAGAACAGAGAAGGAAGACUAGGAUUACUGAGGGAAAUAAAGAGGAGUUCAGGAUACAAGAGAGAAAAGCAAGACUCCCUGGCAAGCAUAAGAAGUAACAUCACCACCCCAGUGAACAAGGAAGGGAAGGAAGGAAAGGAGAACAUCACCAUCACAAACAGGAAGGAGACAAGAAAGAGGAGGAAAGGGAAGAUGGAAUGAUGAAUAAAGAGGAAAAGGAAGAUGGAGUGAUGAACAAGGAGAAAGAAGAUAAAAAGGAGAGUAAAGGAUAACAGACUGAUGAACAAGGAGAAAGAAAAGGAAAACAAAA